UAUUAUCGUGUGUUACAUAAAGAACUAUUUUAUAUGCUUUUAUAUAUCCAAAUCACAUGCGAUUUACAAACUUUAUAGGGAACUUUCAUAUAUAUAACAUAUGUUAAAAUAGCAUUCUAUCUUUUGAAAUAUAAAUUGUUGUAAUGCAUGUAUAAACUAAACUUUUCUUAGAUUAUAUGUAUACUUGUCUAUCUUAGACUCUACACCAAAAAUCUAUGCUUUCAUAACAAAUGAUUCCUUUUCUAGGUAUUUCUAAACAAACGAGACACACUUUUAGAAAACUAUAAUAGGUAUAGUUUUACGAACAAAUUUCUAACUCUUAUGUACUAGAAACAUGAAUUUCAAGAAGUCACUUUCGUAUACAAGAACAAACGUAACAUUUUAACAAGUAGAUCUGUUUUUAUACCACGGUUUUGUGAGACACUAACUUCAUGUACGUUCGAGUACACAUUUCAAGUCCUGUAUUAUAUACCAGAAUCCCUUGGAGGGGGAGCAUGGUGUUUGUGUAUAGAUCUAUACGGGCUUGACAACCCGCGCCCUGACUGUUAGCUGCAGUCCACCGUUUGGGGUGACAAACGUCAUAACAUUCCAACGCCUGAAGAACGUUGUGUAUAGGCAUUCCGAGUCAAUAGUAUGGUUAUAAAACUCACAUGGGGUAUUAAAAAUGCAUUGAUUUACAAGGUUUUCAAACACAUUGGUUAUUUUACACUUACAUACAUUUUAGAAACAAACAUUGGUCUUGAGUGAAGGCUACUUUUAUACUAGUAGAAAAUAUAGGAUUUUCUAAACACAAACAAACAAAGACAAAACAUUUCAUUUCAUACAAACAUUGUCACUUAAAUACUUAUGAAACUCACCAGCUUAAAUGCUGAUCUACUCUUUCAAAAUUACUUGUAUGUCCCAGGAAAUCAGUAAUUUCAGGUAUUCAUUACGCUUUUGAUGAAGGGAUGCUGCGGCGCCAGUUUAAUCUCGUAUUUUGACAUCAUAUUGUAAUUGAGUUUUGAACAUGUAACUUUUGACAAAUGUAAACUUUCAAUUAUAUAUAUGAUGGUUGUAUUGCUUUCUUUACUAUGUAUUCAUUUGUUACGUUACCACAUGAAGUCAUCCGCCCCCGAACGUUUCCGCCGUUCAGGUUUGGGGGUGUGACAGAUUGGUAUCAGAGCAAUGUUUAUAGUGAACUAAGUAUAUCGAACCACAUAAGAUAUACAAACUAUAAAUGCUUAAGGGACUAAUACUCUCUGACAAAACAAAUUUUCUUUUUACACUUAAGCAGCAUUGCGUUCAACUUAAAUUGAUAGUUCAUUUAAGUACAAUUACAUGCAUACCACAAAUUAUUUUCAUGUUAUCCAACUAUACAAGUAUUUAGACAAGUUGACACUACGAUUGAGACUCGAUAUAUGUAAUCAGAUUUUGGACAAAUAUAGCGUGAUCAACUAUAUUUGCCCAAGAUUGGACCAACGUAUAUCGAGGAAUGAUCGUAGUAAGCAACAAGUCAAAACUUACCAAACCAUUACAAGAAUCAAACACAAGAAUUUAAAUACUAUAGGAGUAUUUGCUAUCUAAACUAGUUUAACUUACAUGUUUUGCAUGUUUCAACUUUAUUCAAUUCUUAUAACCCUAUUUCUCGUACAGUCAAAUGGCUGGAUUUCACCACCCUGGCGACCCCUACUUUCCCAACCAAGGCAACGGAGGAUGGAUCGAAGAUGAUCCCGAAGAGGACGAGGAACCCAUAGAAGUGGGUGAUGACUCCGGUACCGACUCAGAGCCGGAAGUUAUCGAUCCACCACCCAUUCAACCUCCCGUCUUCGUAAGGAACUUUCAAGGACCGACUCCCGUCUGGGGAAGUCACCUCCACCAUUGGAGCCAACAGCAAAACCUACGCCCUCCCUACGGCAUGUGCCGGGACUUCUAUGAUGUCCGCGGCGGAGGUUCGGCUGAUCGAGCACUCCCGGUAAUGGUGGGUAAGUUAGCCAAUCAGUCCUAUCAGUCCGGAGUUCAAGCUAGCCGACUCCGGGAUGUCAACGUAGAAGUGCAGGUUCACACUUCUGACAUCUGUAGGCUAGACAAGAUACAAGACAAUGCUCAACUCCAAACCAAAGCAUUUCAAGCGCAAAUGAUUACAGCCCUCGCUGAACUCAGGGAACAACAAGCCGCUUUUGAUAGGCGUCUAAUGGAGUCAAAGCAAUCAGAUGCGGAGUCAAGCUCCAAGCGCAACCUACGUCGCAAGUAGUGCUUGUCAAGGACUCAAAUUUUGUUAUAGCUUAGGACCUCGGCUAAAAGUCUUUAAAUUUCUCGAACUUUGUAAUCGGAGACCCUUAUAGGGGUCAAAUUUUCAUGAUCGUUGUAACAACUUUUAUAUUAAUAUAAGUGGCACUAUUACUACUAUGUUAAGUAUUUCGUUCGAACCUUGAAUGGUCUUUGUGAACCCAAAUACUUGUUUCAUACCUUCAGUCUUACAAAUAACUUUCAUUCUUCUAUUUUAAGACUCAUACUAUCAUCUGUUGUUGAACUAUAGCGAUUUAGUUCAUGAGACACAUACAUUUUCUAUUCUAUGAAAUUCUUAUCCUUGUCUUUUCAACCUAUAGUUGAAGGAUGCCUCCGCGUAGGAAUCCAAGGCGAAACAACGGUGGGGAAGCACCUGUACCACCACCACCUCCACCACCUCAAUUUGAUGCUGUUAUGUUCCAAGCAGCAGUCACCGCAGCGGUGGCAACUGCCAUGUCGCAGAUUAAUAACUCGAGUACUAAUGGCUUGGGAUCCGGCACACACCCAUCCAACCAUGGCGANNNNNNNNNNNNNNNNNNNNNNNNNNNNNNNNNNNNNNNNNNNNNNNNNNNNNNNNNNNNNNNNNNNNNNNNNNNNNNNNNNNNNNNNNNNNNNNNNNNNGUAACCCUGUACGCCCUGCGUACCCGAGGGCCUUGGUCUCGGUUCAUCCACGUCGCCCCUAUGCGAGGCUACCGACCCACCCAUCCGACCCGCCGUCCCAUCCGACCCGCCCCAUCCGAUCCGUCCCAUCCGAAGCCGAGGCAGUCGAGGACUCGGUCAUGCAUGACGUACGAGUACGCGCUGCGUACUAGCGUACGCCCCGCGUACCGAGGCUUCUCAGACCCCCUAUAAAUAGCAAUGCGAGGGUUCCGGAAAAAUCACCCCAUUUCUCUCCUUUCUCUCACGAUCUUGCCUCGAUUUCCGUGCCCGUUCAAACCCGAAGCUCUGGUCUUUUUGCUCAAGUCCCGAGGGUCGAUUUUACUCCCGAGAUUCCCGAGAAUCCCGAGAAAAAUCCGUUUCCCAAGACGAAACUCUGCCCGGUUUUCCAUCUCGCUAUCUUCAAACUUUCAAGUGAGUUCAUACCCCUUAAUUAACCUUUUUAAGAUAUUCUAAAUGCUUUUAUAUGCUUUCAAGGGGGGGAAUACAAGUAAAACACACGAGUAUUAUCGUGUGUUACAUAAAGAAUUAUUUUAUAUGCUUUUAUAUAUCCAAAUCAUAUGUGAUUUAUAAACUUUAUAGGGAACUUUCAUAUAUAUAAAAUAUGAAACAAUAGCAUUCUAUCUUUUGAAAUAUAAAUUGUUGUAAUGCAUGUAUAAACUAAACUUUUCUUGGAUUAUAUGUAUACUUGUCUAUCUUAGGCUCUACAAAAAUCUACGCUUGCAUAACAAAUGAUUCCUUUUCUAGGUAUUUCUAAACAAACGAGACACACUUUUAGAAAACUAUAAUAGGUAUAGUUUUACGAACAAAUUUCUAACUCUUAUGUACUAGAAACAUGAAUUUCAAGAAGUCACUUUCGUAUACAAGAACAAACGUAACAUUUUAACAAGUAGAUCUGUUUUUAUACCACGGUUUUUGUGAGACACUAACUUCACGUACGUUCGAGUACACAUUUCAAGUCCUGUAUUAUAUACCAGAAUCCCUUGGAGGGGGAGCAUGGUGUUUGUGUAUAGAUCUAUACGGGCUUGACAACCCGCGCCCUGACUGUUAGCUACAGUCCACCGUUUGGGGUGACAAACGUCAUAACAUUCCAACGCCUGAAGAACGUUGUGUAUAGGCAUUCCGAGUCAAUAGUAUGGUUAUAAAACUCACAUGGGGUAUUAAAAAUGCAUUGAUUUACAAGGUUUUCAAACACAUUGGUUAUUUUACACUUACAUACAUUUUAGAAACAAAC
rnacentral:lncRNA from 1 species